UAGCUCAGGUGGUAGAGCACUUGACUUUUAAUCAAGUUGUCCGGGGUUCGAAUCCCCG
rnacentral:tRNA from 1 species